CUUACCGGAAAUAAUGGCAUAUUGGCAAUUAUGGGUGUUUGGGAGGUAUGUAUAAUUCUUCCUGGUUAAAUCCGUUAUUAUGCAAUUAUCAGUCAUGGCAUUCAAAGAUAUGAUUUUUCUUUUUCUUUUUUCUGGAGAUUAAUAAUUUGGAUCAUUUUCUCCCUACUCAUUGGAGGUCCCAUAAUAACAUAGGUACAUUUGUACAUCUCCACCAUAUUUAUGAUUUGUACAAUAUGGAGGAAAACCAAAGAAUAGUUACGCUACCCCUAUUGAAUUCAGAUCAUGAAGCCUUGCGGUAUCUUAAUUCACAAAAAAAAAAUGUUUAGCCAUAGGCAUGCAAAAUAGGUGGCGUUCCCACAACAUUAUAUGUUUUCCAUGCGGCAUAAAGCUGGAUUGCAAAAUAAGGUAGCAGCUGCUUUAAGUAGGAGGGUUUAUUUGCUAAACACCGUGUCUAAUACUGUUGUUGGGCUAGAGGUGGUGAAGACAAUACAAUGAGAAGAUCCUUAUUUUAAGGAAUUGCUUGAGAAACAUGCAGCCCAAGACAGCAAGACAAGGGCAGAAUUUAUUGUAACUGAUGGUUUUCGUUCAAAGGAGAUAAGUUCUGUAUACCUGAAGGUUCCUUGAGGUAGACGUUGAUUGCUGAGCUGCAUGGAGGUGGCCUUGGAGGUCAUUUUGGCAGGGAUAAAACGCUAAGUUUAGUGGCAGAAAAGUACUUUUGGCCAACUAUAAGACGCAAUGUGUAUCGACAUGUGGAAAGGUGCCAUAUUUGUCAAGUUUCAAAAAGGCAGCAGCAAAAUAUUGGCCUCUGUACUCCUCUACGAAUUCGUACUUCUCCAUGGGAGGAAGUGAGCAUGGAUUUUGUUUUGGGUUUGCCUCGGACAGCAAGGGGAAGUGGUUAGACUACAUGGUGUUCCCAAGAUUUUCACCUCCAAUCGAGAUACAAAGUUUCUUGGCCAUUUUUGGAGAACUUUGUGGAAAUUGCUGGCAACGAAGUUGCAAUACAGCAGUGCUUAUCACCCUCAAACAGACGGUAAGGUAGUGAAUUGUUGUUCGGGAAAUUUGUCCGAUGCCUUGCGAAGGACAACAUUCGGCAAGGGGACUUCUCCUCUUACUCUUAAAGCAGCGCAGCUCCCAACAUGACUUUGUUCAUAGUAGACUGUACAGUGAGUCCUUAUCCCAAGAACCUCUGUCAGGUACUUACUUUAGCUAUAUGGAUCAGGGGUUGCAUUAAGCAUGGAUUCAAUCCUCAGGCAAUCUAUCAUCCACCGUUUUAUAUAUGAUCGGUCUACGAUCCGCUUCUAUUGCGGACA